AGAGUUUGAUCAUGGCUCAGAUUGAACGCUGGCGGCAUGCCUUACACAUGCAAGUCGAACGGCAGCAUAGGUGCUUGCACCUGAUGGCGAGUGGCGAACGGGUGAGUAAUGUAUCGGAACGUGCCCAGUCGUGGGGGAUAACGCAGCGAAAGCUGUGCUAAUACCGCAUACGAUCUAUGGAUGAAAGCGGGGGAUCGCAAGACCUCGCGCGAUUGGAGCGGCCGAUAUCAGAUUAGGUAGUUGGUGGGGUAAAGGCCCACCAAGCCUACGAUCUGUAGCUGGUUUGAGAGGACGACCAGCCACACUGGAACUGAGACACGGUCCAGACUCCUACGGGAGGCAGCAGUGGGGAAUUUUGGACAAUGGGCGCAAGCCUGAUCCAGCAAUGCCGCGUGCAGGAUGAAGGCCUUCGGGUUGUAAACUGCUUUUGUACGGAACGAAACGGCGAGCUCUAAUACAGUUUGCUAAUGACGGUACCGUAAGAAUAAGCACCGGCUAACUACGUGCCAGCAGCCGCGGUAAU
rnacentral:rRNA from 1 species